CUUAAAAAGUUCUAAGGGCACAAAGGUUUGGUCCUGGCCUUAUUGUCAAUUAUCUCCUAACUUACACAUGCAAGUCUCAGCACCCCCGUGAGGACGCCCUUCACCCACUUAUUUGGAUAAGGAGCCGGUAUCAGGCACAACCAAUUUGCCCACAACACCUAGUCUCACCACACCCCCAAGGGUACUCAGCAGUGAUAAAUAUUGUCUAUGAGCGCUAGCUCGACUCAGUUAUGGAGAAGAGAGCCGGCCAACAAUGGUGCCAGCCGCCGCGGCUAAACCAAUGGGCUCAAAUUGAUUAUAUUCGGCGUUAAGCGUGAUUAAAGCCGACCCAAUAAUUAGAGUAAAACCUUAGUCUCAAGCCGUGAAAAGCGUACAACAGGGAGCCCCAAAAACGAAAGUUACUCUAAUCUCUGCUUGAACACACGACAGCUAGGAAACAAACUGGGAUUAG
rnacentral:rRNA from 1 species